AUGCUGCCGAGGCGUCUUCUCGUCGCCGGCCUCCUGCGGUCAACCUCCACUUCUUCCCCCGUUUACCCAAGGCCAGAGAAUGUCAGAGAAAGGUUCCUUUCAAGUUGGUGUUAUUCUGACAGCACCAGGCGUCAGACUUAUGGAGGAGCAGGGUCAACAGCUAAGAUGCUGGAUCCCUUUGCACUGGUUAAAGAUGAAGUGUCGGAAAUCUCGAACAGACUGCGUUCGACGGUGGUAUCGGAGGUACCUGAAUUGACAUCAGCAGCUGGAUACUUCUUCAGAGCUGGAGCUGAAGGGAAAAGAACAUGCCCCACUGUUCUACUAUUGAUGGCCUCGGCUAUACGAACAGACACUCCUGACUCCAUUGUUGGUUCAAGGAACGAGCUUCGUGCAAGACAGAUGCGCAUUGCUGAGAUAACUGAAAUGAUUCAUGUAGCAAGCCUUAUCCAUGAUGAUGUUCUGGAUGUUGCUGAUACCAGACGUGGUAUGGAUUCCCUGAACUCUGCAGUGGGAAACAAGCUUGCGGUAUUGGCCGGUGAUUUCCUACUUUUCAGGGCAUUUUCUGCUGCCGGGUCUCUUGGCAAUACUGAGGUUGUAUCUUUACUAGCAACAGCUCUAAAUAGCCUUGUGACGGGUGAGCUGAUGCAGAUGGCCAUAACUCCAGCACAACGCUGCAGCAUGGAUUACUAUUUGCAGAAGACAUACUACAAGACAGCUGCAUUGAUUUCAAAUAGCUGCAAAGCCGUUGCAGUUAUCGCUGGCCAAACAGCAGAGGUUGCAGCCCUUGCUUAUCAGUAUGGCAGGCACUUGGGUAUAGCAUAUCAGCUGAUCGACGACAUCCUUGAUUUCACGGGCACAUCCGCUUCACUAGGCAAAGGCUCCUUGUCUGAUACCCAUCAAGGAAUCGUGACCGCUCCUCUGUUGUUCGCAAUGGAAGAGUUCCCUGAACUACGUGAGAGUGUAGAGCGUGGAUUCGAUGACCCUUCAGAUGUUGCUACUGCCCUCGAAUACCUUGCGAAAAGCCAGGGAAUCGAGAGGACAAGGUUGUUUGCUACUGGACACGUGAAACUGGCAGCACGCGCAAUCGAUGCGCUUCCUGAGGUUGGGGACAGAGUUGCGCUGAUCUCGAGGCAAGCACUCAAAGACCUUGCUCAGAAGCUCAUCAGGAGAACAAAGUGA
rnacentral:rRNA from 1 species